UGUAUUCAAAAGAAAAUAAAUAAAAAAAGGAACAGUACAACCAUUAUUGAAGGCAGUAUCUAAUAAUUUCAUAUACUUCAAAUAGGGCAAAAUGCUGUUAGAGGAAAGAAUCUGGAAACUGGAGGCAAUCUGGUCAGUGAAGUAUGGAGUAGGGUGAAUGAGGCAGUGCAGGUUGACGAAGGGAGGAUCAAGUGGAAGCAACCUGAAGAGCAAAAGAACAGGGAAGGUGCGUCCUCCAUGUAGUUAGGUGGUCUUGAGUUCAGAAUCAAUCAGGGGUGGCCAAAGCAUGAAGGAUUAUUAGGGAGUGAGAACUACACUGGAAAAUGGGGAUGUGGUUUCGGAUACGAGGAUGUUCGGGCACUAAUGAUUAUUAGAGUACUAUAUGAUAUCUAUAGAAAAAACAAAAAAAAAAAAAAAAAAACUUAGUAAUUUGUUGUUAAUCUUCUCAUUGUCUCACGUCCCUCGCAGGCUGCAACAGCCAAUCAAGGAUAACCAGAAAGUUGGGGCUGGGCCCAAUUGAUAUCAACCUACGAACCCAUUUUCUCAGUUUCGAAAUCGGGCCAUCUAAUUGCAACCCCAAUGAAUACAAAAAUACUUUCGUCCGAGAAUCUCCUAAAAGCAGGGGAAGGAAAGCUCAAGGGAAAAAUGUAAGUUUGAUUGAGAUAAUAAAGGAAAGGGCUGUUCUUCACAAACUGUAGGGAAAUUAAUGUUUUCUUUAUAAAUAGAAACAAUUCGAGUCUAA
rnacentral:lncRNA from 1 species